UCAGUACUCAGCUGUAUUGUGUUUUGUGGUGUGAAAGCGUGAACAAGAAGGUAGGAUAACGUUCUCGUAAAAAAAUUGAAGUCUAGCUGUGUCAAAAAAAAUAUGGAGGGUGGCAGAGGUCGUGGAAGAGGGGUUACGAUAAGUGCUUCAACUUAUCCCAGUUCAAUCUCUCCACCUCCAACCAAAAGCACAAAUGUUAUUAAAGGACUUGGAAGAGGCAGCAUUGGCAACCAAUGUGAGAACCUACCAAACACAGCCUCAAGCACUGCAACUGACAGUCAUGACAUUAAAAAACCAUAUCAUGGAGAGUUCAGAAGAAUACCACAUUCAGUAGGUACACCAGAGGCAUACAA
rnacentral:lncRNA from 1 species